rnacentral:lncRNA from 1 species
AAAACUCUAAUGUUUUCUUGUACAAUGCCAGCUAUUAGAUUCCAUCAUCUUGCAACUUCAAAAUCCCUUUCUCACUAUAGUAAAUAAGAAACGUUGUGUAACUUGCAUAGUUUCUAUCUUUCUAAAUUUCGCAAAUUAUGUUUAGAUUUGGUUCUACUUGCCAGCAUACACGUGUGGUUUGAUACGAGGGAUCCCAUUUCAUUCCUACACAGUCUCUGAAUUCCUUCUUGGAUCAUGUUCAUCUUCUACAAGUUAAAAUUUGAAAGACAAAAAUGAGUUAGAAGUGACCAGGUAUAAUCCAAUACUGUCAUAAAGUUUAGAGUAAUUCUUGCAUGGGCGCAACCAGUUACCUGGUAUGCAUUAAGGGUACGUGGUUCACUUGGAUAUGCAGUUUGUUACUUUAUACAUAAAUUUUAUGAGGCCUUUUUUAUGACGAAGCUAAAUGAGAUAAUCAUGUAACUAUGGGCACAACGAAUCAAAAUUUAAGAUAAGAUCUAUUCUCCUUCAAGCCCUGAUAGUAAUAACCAUGCAUUAGAAGGGAUGAGGACAACUAGGUUGUCAUAAGAAUGCUCAUACAGAUCAACCUUAGAAAUUAGCUGCUUCUUUGCUUGUGAUUUUGUAGUUUGUUUGACAUCAGAAGUCAGAAAGAAAAAAAAUGAAACUUGUUAUGUAUCCAUACGAGCUCUGAAGCACGGAUUCGUCAAACACCAUCGCGUGUCGGUGUCCGACACAUAUCCAACACGGAUACGCUCGGUUUUACGAAGGAUACGUAUCUGUAUUCGUGCUUCGUAUAGCAUGCAAGCUUUCAGCAUAUUAACAUUUAACUUAAGUAGUCAAUGCUAAUCUUGGAGGUAACUAUUUGAUGGCAAAUUAGGAUAAAUAACCAAAAAAUUUAACUUGAGGAAUUACAACAAAAAUCAUACAGAAACAUGAUAACUUCACAAAUGGACAUGUGUGAUGAAUUCCUUACCAAUGGAAAUACUUUGAUAUUUGGGAAGACACCUCUUUCCCCUUUACUUGAGGGUCUCUGAUAAAAGCCCAAGAAACAUUAUGAUAACUGCUUUAUCAUCAUGGCUUCCUUGAAAUUUGUUUAACAUUUCC